rnacentral:rRNA from 1 species
UACGGAGGUUCCUAGCGUUGUUCGGAAUUACUGGGCGUAAAGGGCGCGCAGGCGGAUUGAUAAGUCUAAAGUGGAAUCCCGGGGCUCAACCUCGGACGUGCUUUGGAUACUGUCAGUCUUGAGUUCGUGAGAGGAAAGCGGAAUUCAGGGUGUAGCGGUGAAAUGCUUAGAUAUCCUGAGGAACACCAGUGGCGAAAGCGGCUUUCUGGCACGAAACUGACGCUGAGGCUCGAAAGCGUGGGUAGCGAACGGG